CAACUUCUAACUGCCUUUAGGGCCCACGAGUGGCCGUGUGAGUCUCCUGGAAACCGCUGGCCAUUGGGGAUGGAUCCGUCAGUGGAGGCUGUGAGUUCUUUCCGUGGGACCAGUGAUAUCUUCCUGACUUUGGGUAUCUCCAAUGUUGUUCCCAGGAAGGGCACAGGCUUCCAGCAGAGGGAGUCGCCCAGGUUAGAUCUGCGCUAAAGACCCGGAUUACAAAUGUGUCUUCACCCAGCUCAGAAGCUCUCUAUUAAAGGCAUGUCUUCCUGUCUCAGAGAUGGGGAUUACAACGGGAUCUUCCCACUUCAAACCUUCUCAUGGAAGGGUUCAACUCACCAGAAGAGUUUUGGUUGCCGGCGGCAGGAAGGCUUUCUCAAACAGCCCAGCAGAGAGACUCAAAUCAGGCCCAAGAUUUGCAGGAGGAGAAACCUGAGGGAUUUGAAAGAACGCACCCUUUACAUGCCAAAGCAGGACCCAGAAGGACAUAAACAGCCCCCCACCACCACACCACAUGUCGUCUGGGAGGCAAGUGUUUCUUCUUUUGUUAUUUUCUAGAAGAAAUGGGCCAAGCUAGAAAGAUGCUUUGGAGGGCUAGCAUGGGGCCAGGACGUAGGUAGCCUCAGGCUGCCUUACUGCGUGUCACAUGAUAUUGCGACAUCUCUGAGUGCUCUGCGGAGAUUGACAUCAUGUCCCUAGAGUGGCAGCCAGUGUGUCUCUUUCCUAGAGCGGGGAGGGCGGUCUCCAGUGCCAUGCUGUACUCGGGGACUUUAA